rnacentral:rRNA from 1 species
GAUGAACGCUGGCGGCGUGCCUAAUACAUGCAAGUCGAGCGAACAGACGAGGAGCUUGCUCCUCUGACGUUAGCGGCGGACGGGUGAGUAACACGUGGAUAACCUACCUAUAAGACUGGGAUAACUUCGGGAAACCGGAGCUAAUACCGGAUAAUAUAUUGAACCGCAUGGUUCAAUAGUGAAAGACGGUUUUGCUGUCACUUAUAGAUGGAUCCGCGCCGCAUUAGCUAGUUGGUAAGGUAACGGCUUACCAAGGCAACGAUGCGUAGCCGACCCGAGAGGGUGAUCGGCCACACUGGAACUGAGACACGGUCCAGACUCCUACGGGAGGCAGCAGUAGGGAAUCUUCCGCAAUGGGCGAAAGCCUGACGGAGCAACGCCGCGUGAGUGAUGAAGGUCUUCGGAUCGUAAAACUCUGUUAUUAGGGAAGAACAAAUGUGUAAGUAACUAUGCACGUCUUGACGGUACCUAAUCAGAAAGCCACGGCUAACUACG